CUUCUCUGUGCCACGCAGGAAAGUGGGUCACAGGAGGAUUGCUCUGGGGAGUUGGUCCCCGUGUCCCUCACUCCUGUCUGCCAUUCCUUAGAGUAGAGCCGACGCCAUCCCAGGCUGGCAGAACACAAAGGAAACCCCUAUUCGGUCCCCGGACCUUAGGGUCACUGUAAGCAGGAGGCUGGUGUGUUUUCCAGUCUCAGAACUCCGGCCGCCCGCGGGAACAAUAGCGGCCGCCUGCCCGGGAGGUCGGACGCUCGGCACAAAGCCGGCUUGGUCCGCGCGGCCGGCCACACGACGCGCGCUGACCCGGCUGCCGUCGCUCGCCGGUGUUCCCGCGUCCACCUGGAACUCUUCGAGAAAGACAAACGCGGUUCCUCCUACUUUAGAGCAAGUCUGGGCCAGCUGGGAGCCGACCAGAAACCGCAAGCGAAGGAGACGCGGGCGCUCCGGGUGAGCGCUGAGGGAGGGGGCGACACACAGUCCUGCGGCUGCCCAGGAUAGCGCUCCAGGCACGCAGGAGGGGAAGGUCGGUGGACAUCUCUGUGCGGCACCGAAGGGAGGGCCACUGCUUACUUCUCAGCUCUAACCGCAGCCCUCCAGCACGGACCUCGAACUUCAUAGCAAAUCUACACCCACGCUGUCCCCCGACCCAUUGUGACCCGGCAUUCUCCCUCCUAUCCCAGUGACACUCACACAAGCCGCUCUAUUUCUAGAAAGGGAAACUCUUUCUGAAGGCAGGGCAAGAACAGUCCCAAUGAAUCAAGGUUUCUUAUUGACCCCAAGUCUGCCUGCAGGCCUCUCUGCGUGGGAGUAAGUAGGUCAAAGCGGCCACUGAACUUGGAGUAAACUUGAAUUCCCUUUAAAGUUACAAUAAAAGUAUGUAUAUAUUCAUCACA
rnacentral:lncRNA from 1 species